rnacentral:rRNA from 1 species
GUCAUGGUUAAGUGGGAAACGAUGUGGGAAGGCCCAGACAGCCAGGAUGUUGGCUUAGAAGCAGCCAUCAUUUAAAGAAAGCGUAAUAGCUCACUGGUCGAGUCGGCCUGCGCGGAAGAUGUAACGGGGCUAAACCAUGCACCGAAGCUGCGGCAGCGACACUAUGUGUUGUUGGGUAGGGGAGCGUUCUGUAAGCCUGUGAAGGUGUGCUGUGAGGUAUGCUGGAGGUAUCAGAAGUGCGAAUGCUGACAUAAGUAACGAUAAAGCGGGUGAAAAGCCCGCUCGCCGGAAGACCAAGGGUUCCUGUCCAACGUUAAUCGGGGCAGGGUGAGUCGACCCCUAAGGCGAGGCCGAAAGGCGUAGUCGAUGGGAAACAGGUUAAUAUUCCUGUACUUGGUGUUACUGCGAAGGGGGGACGGAGAAGGCUAUGUUGGCCGGGCGACGGUUGUCCCGGUUUAAGCGUGUAGGCUGGUUUUCCAGGCAAAUCCGGAAAAUCAAGGCUGAGGCGUGAUGACGAGGCACUACGGUGCUGAAGCAACAAAUGCCCUGCUUCCAGGAAAAGCCUCUAAGCAUCAGGUAACAUCAAAUCGUACCCCAAACCGACACAGGUGGUCAGGUAGAGAAUACCAAGGCGCUUGAGAGAACUCGGGUGAAGGAACUAGGCAAAAUGGUGCCGUAACUUCGGGAGAAGGCACGC